AGCGAACGCUGGCGGCAGGCCUAACACAUGCAAGUCGAACGAACCUUUCGGGGUUUGUGGCGGACGGGUGAGUAACACGUGGGAACGUGCCUUUAGGUUCGGAAUAACUCAGGGAAAAUUGUGCUAAUACUGAAUGUGCCCUUCGGGGGAAAGAUUAAUCGCCUUUAGAGCGGCCCGCGUCUGAUUAGCUAGUUGGUUGAGGUAAUGGCUCACCAAGGCGACGAUCAGUAGCUGGUCUGAGAGGAUGAUCAGCCACAUUGGGACUGAGACACGGCCCAAACUCCUACGGGAGGCAGCAGUGGGGAAUCUUGCGCAAUGGGCGAAAGCCUGACGCAGCCAUGCCGCGUGAAUGAUGAAGGUCUUAGGAUUGUAAAAUUCUUUCACCGGGGACGAUAAUGACGGUACCCGGAGAAGAAGCCCCGGCUAACUUCGUG
rnacentral:rRNA from 1 species